rnacentral:misc_RNA from 1 species
AACCUUAAUUGUUAGCUCCACAUUCGCGCUCAUCUAAUCAAUAGAACAUAUAUUUAUGUGUCUUAUUACAAAUUCUUUACACAUGAUAUAUAGACAUCGUGGCAAUACAUGGGUAACCCAACAGUGUCAGCUAUCACCAGUACAAUAUGACUGUGUUGCGACGAAAAAUUAUUCGAUAAAUGAUUCUGAUACUAAACUGUUUCUCAGCGAAAAGCCGAAUACAAUGGUGAGUUAAUUCGAUACCAUUAGCAACAAAAUUUCAAUUAAUGAGUUAUUCAAAUUGAUUAACAUAUGUAUUGACCUGUUGGUAGAGGACUUAGCAAACAUCAAACACUAAAAAGUGCCCACAUGCACCUCGGUGUCGUCUUAUUCACCUGUCACUUAUCAAAUGCCAAGAGCAAUGCAGCAUUCUGUUUCACAAACUAAUGACCAAACUUUACCAAGUCAAGAAAACGUUGUCCAUUCUUGUAUAUCUACCAAGUCAAGGGAACGUUGAGCGGACCAAAGUUUGAACAAUCCUAGCGCACAUCAAAUUGCCUCAUCUGGAUUGCCUCUACAAACAGUCUGCAUACCGAUAGAUGGUGAGCAAUUCCAGACCUGAAUUCUGGACAGAACGAAGACAGCACCCGAUGCUAAACACCAUAAGUACAAUCUGACCAACAAAGGAACACUUAUGCCAGUUGUCAUCUUCAUCAAAAGCAUUGGCUAAUCUGACUCAUUGCAUCAGGUGAAAAAAAAGAUUAGAUGUGCACAAGCGCACUGUCAGAAAUGUAAUGCAGCUUGAUGUAGUAAAGGCAACUUGUGGCAUGGUUCAAGCAGGAAGACAUCAGGUGUUACUGCUUGGGCUUCUCUUUGUUUUGGUUCGCCAGGCUUUGUACUUGGAUGCUUUGUUUUUUUUCCCAACUUCUCUUAAUGGAAUACAUGCAAUGAACAUUCUUGGAAACCUUACUCCUUGGACAACUUCUGUAGCUGAUAAACAGCUAGAAAGAAGCAUCUCUAACCUUUUGGUACACCCUCCUGUAUAUCGUUGCUCCUUCAAGCUCUGCAUGGAUUUCUCGCUCUGUCCGGAUUCCCAUUGGGUUGUCCAGAAGCCAUCCUUCAUUGUCACACUGAAGAUCUUGAUCAACAUAAUUAACAUGUGCCAAAAUACCAGAGUACCCAUCAAACCUUUCCCUCAUGUCUACAGAUACUUCCAGUACAUCAGAUUGUAUGAAAACCU